GUUUUCCUAAUUUCUUCAGCUUUGCUUUCACCACAGCAGUGAGAACCAUAACCUCAACAAUGGCCUAAACUUCCAAAAAAUCACCACCACUUCUCCGCCGUGAAGACUGAACCAUAACCUCAGCAAUGGCCUAAACUUCCAAAAACUCGCCACCACCUCUCCGCCGUGAAGCCACUUCCUUCUCCUCCGCCACCGCCGAUGUUGUCGAGGAUUGGACCACCGAUCCGUCCGUCGGCGAUCAGAUUCGCCACCGCGGUACUGCUGCUUCCGUCGAUAACUCUACUCGUCCUGUCAUUACUCAAAUUCCGCUGCUUCUACUGCUGCUAAAGGUAGUUGUUAGGUUAUUAAGUGACCGUAUAGUUGUUAGGUUUUGAUUUGUGAUGAAGUGUGUUAAUCUGAUGCUUAUAGAUUCGUAUGCUGUUGUUGAUCGGUUGAUGGUUGAGGUGGUUGAUGGUGGGGGUGGUGGUUGAUGGUGGCGGUGACGGACUGAUGUGAGAGAGAGGGGCCGGUGGACUGAUGAGAGAGGGGGUGGAGUGAGAGAGAUUAAGUUUUAAUAUUUAAUUUUGAUAUAUUUUAUUUAAAUAUUUUUAAAUAAUUAGGUAAAAGGACUAAAAUACCCUUGUGUUAUCUGAUUUAACCAAAAAAUCUAACUAGGUUAGUACUAAAGGACAUGACGUAUUGACGUGCAGGAUUUUGAAACGUUAAGGACAAAACUCGUCAAAUUUAAAGGUAAAGGACAUCGCUUGCAAUUUGAUACAAACAUAAAGAACAAAAAACUUGUAAUU
rnacentral:lncRNA from 1 species